GACAGAGGUGCCGAGCGUUAGGCGGAAUCACUGGGCUUAAAGCGUGUGUAGGCGGGUCCGUAAGUACCUUGUGAAAUCCCACGGCUCAACCGUGGAACUGCUUGGUAUACUGCGGGUCUUGAGCCACCUAGGGGCAAGUGGAACAAACGGUGGAGCGGUGAAAUGCGUAGAUAUCCGCAGGAACAUCCGAGGCGAAAGCGGCUUGCUGGAUCGCAACUGACGCUGAGGGACGAAAGCUAGGGGAGCAAACAGG
rnacentral:rRNA from 1 species